rnacentral:rRNA from 1 species
CCUACGGGAGGCAGCAGUGGGGGAUAUUGCACAAUGGGGGAAACCCUGAUGCAGCGACGCCGCGUGGGUGAAGAAGCGCCUCGGCGCGUAAAGCCCUGUCAGCAGGGAAGAAAAUGACGGUACCUGAAGAAGAAGCCCCGGCUAACUACGUGCCAGCGGCCGCGGUAAUACGUAGGGGGCAAGCGUUAUCCGGAUUUACUGGGUGUAAAGGGGGCGCAGACGGCGAUGCAAGCCAGGAGGGAAAGCCCGGGGCCCAACCCCGGGCCUGCUCUUGGAACUGCGUGGCUAGAGUGCAGGAGGGGCAGGCGGAAUUCCUGGUGUAGCGGUGAAAUGCGUAGAUAUCAGGAGGAACACCGGUGGCGAAGGCGGCCUGCUGGCCUGCAACUGACGUUGAGGCCCGAAAGCGUGGGGAGCAAACAGGAUUAGAUACCCUUGUAGUC